GCUUUGAAUGUGGAGCUCAGUAGAUGCCCUUGAAUGACUGUUUUUCCACCGUGUUCUUCAAUGAUAGUUAAUGAGGGCACAGACCACUAAUAAGCAGUGGAGGCAGCUUCUAGGCUAAGCUGAAAUUGGGCCUUCAAAUCUAAUCAAAAUUAGUCACUGCUGAGAAGAAACCAAAUGCGGUGUGUCCAUUUGGAUCUGGGGUUUGGAGAGGCCCUCCUUGUUUUCCGGGGCCAUGAGCCGUAGGAAGCAUGUCAACCAUGGCAAACCGGAGGAUCAGGAAAUCAAAGAUUCCAUUCACUUGCCCUGGAGUUUGAGAUCUGUGAUGCUAUGGCACUCCACACCUUCCCAGUGGCUGCAAUUACACACAUCAAGUUUCAGAAUGAACGACAAGUCUACAGACCAGUGCCAAGGAUCCAAAGAGAAGAAAUGAGAACAACCAAGGUAUGCUGUGUCCACUUAAUUAACUAUUUGCGAACAAAGGUGCAAACAAUGUGACCGUAGCUUCAUGAGAACAGGGAGUUUGUAUCUUUUCGCCUGUGUAUCGGCAGUACCUAGCAACACACCUGGCCCAUAAGAAACAAUGCAUAUUUGUGGAACAGAUGGAUGAAUGAACAAUUAAAAAAUACAUCUGACUAUAUUCUAGUUUGCAUUUUCUUGAGUGGCAGAGAGGGUAAUAGACUUUUAGUGCCCGGGAAUGCCCACAGGGACGUAUCUCCAGAAGAAACUCGUUCUCUUUCAUGUUGCAUUGGAAGUAACACACAUGAGCAGAGACAUGGUUUCAUAUUUCCAGCCAGAAUUCUUAAAAACCCUGUGGUCUGUCUUCUGCUCCUGUGUGUCUAGUCCUGCCUGCUCCUCUCUUUAGUCAAAAUAAUUUGGUCAAAA